UCUCUCUCUCUCUGUUUCCUGUUUUUGGGUGUGUGAAUGUGUGUUUUUCAUUGUAGUUGAUAUUUUCCUUUUCUAUGGUUUGCUUUCUUCCUUUUGUCUAUUUAUGUUUAUGUUAGCUGUAACACUCCCAGUGGUUGCAGUUUUAUUUACUUGUGGCAAUCAUUACUUGAAUCUUUGGGAAAGAAAGUCAUCAACGAUCAUGGCAUAAAAUAUCUGCAAUCAAAGGCUUUGCCUUGAGAGGGGUCAGUAAGCCUCAGGAAUCAUAUCCUUCAUCAUGUAAGAGGACAAGCACUCAUGCAAGAGGACAACCAAAAAACAGUAUGAGAAUAUGUUUGACACUAA